rnacentral:rRNA from 1 species
UACGAAGGGGGCUAGCGUUGCUCGGAAUCACUGGGCGUAAAGCGCACGUAGGCGGAUCUUUAAGUCAGGGGUGAAAUCCUGGAGCUCAACUCCAGAACUGCCUUUGAUACUGGGGAUCUCGAGUCCGGGGAGAGGUGAGUGGAACUGCGAGUGUAGAGGUGAAAUUCGUAGAUAUUCGCAAGAACACCAGUGGCGAAGGCGGCUCACUGGCCCGGUACUGACGCUGAGGUGCGAAAGCGUGGGGAGCAAACAGGG